GAUGAAGAACGCAGCGAAAUGCGAUAUGUAGUGUGAAUUGCAGAAUUCAGUGAAUCAUCGAAUCUUUGAACGCACAUUGCGCCCCUUGGUAUUCCAUGGGGCAUGCCUGUUCGAGCGUCAUUUGUACCUUCAAGCUUUGCUUGGUGUUGGGUGUUUGUCUCGCCUCCGCGUGUAGACUCGCCUCAAAACAAUUGGCAGCCGGCGUAUUGAUUUCGGAGCGCAGUACAUCUCGCGCUUUGCACUCACAACGACGACGUCCAAAAGUACAUUUUUACACUCUUGACCUCGGAUCAGGUAGGGAUACCCGCUGAACUUAAGCAUAUCAAUAAGCGGAGGA
rnacentral:misc_RNA from 1 species